UACGUAGGGGGCAAGCGUUGUCCGGAAUCAUUGGGCGUAAAGAGCGUGUAGGCGGCUUGGUAAGUCCGCUGUGAAAGUCCAGGGCUCAACCCUGGAAUGCCGGUGGAAACUGUCAAGCUUGAGUCCGGAAGAGGCGAGUGGAAUUCCUGGUGUAGCGGUGAAAUGCGCAGAUAUCAGGAGGAACACCAAUGGCGAAGGCAGCACGCUGGGACGGUACUGACGCUGAGACGCGAAAGCGUGGGGAGCAAACAGG
rnacentral:rRNA from 1 species